rnacentral:rRNA from 1 species
CGGGUGAGUAACGCGUGAGUAACCUGCCUUACACAAGGGGAUAGCCGUUGGAAACGACGAAUAAUACCCUAUGACAUAAACUCUUCGCAUGAGGAGCUUAUCAAAGAUUUAUCGGUGUAAGAUGGACUCGCGUCUGAUUAGCUAGUUGGUGAGGUAACGGCCCACCAAGGCGACGAUCAGUAGCCGGCUUGAGAGAGUGUACGGCCACAUUGGGACUGAGACACGGCCCAGACUCCUACGGGAGGCAGCAGGC